GACGAACGCUGGCGGCGUGCUUAACACAUGCAAGUCGUACGGUAAGGCCUUUUCGGGGGUACACGAGUGGCGAAGGGGCGAGUAACACGGGAGUAACCAGUCCACAACCUCGGGAUAACGCUAGGAAACUGGUACUCAUAUUCGAUAAGUGCUCCUGAUGCAAGGUGGGGGUUGGAAAGCUACGGCGGUUGUGGAUGGCCUCGCGGCUUAUCCGCUUGUUGGUGGGGUAGUGGCCUACCAAGGCGGCGACGGGUAGCCGGCCUGAGAGGGUGACCGGCCACAUUGGGACUGAGAUACGGCCCAGACUCCUACGGGAGGCAGCAGUGGGGAAUAUUGCACAAUGGGCGCAAGCCUGAUGCAGCAACGCCGCGUGCGGGAUGACGGCCUUCGGGUUGUAAACCGCGUUCAGCAGGGACGAAGCUUUUUGUGACGGUACCUGCAGAAGAAGCACCGGCUAACUACGUG
rnacentral:rRNA from 1 species